UAGUGAACAAGUACCGCGAGGAAAGGUGAAAAAGAACUCCUCCAGAGUUAAAAGAUCCUAAAAUUUAAUGCAUACAAUCAAUUGGAGCUUUAUUAAAAAGUGACAGUGUACCUUUUGCAUAAUGGGCCAACAACUUUAUUUGUUUAGCGAGUUUAAGUUUUAUAUAAAGAAAACUAAGACAUAAAGAAAUUGAUUAUUAAAAUGAUAUUUAUAGUUAAGCAAAUAAAACCCGAAGCUGAAUGAUCUAACCAUGAGCAGGCUGAAUGGUAUGUAAAAGUAUUUUGAAGGGCCGAACUCGUAUCUGUUGCAAGAGAUUGAGAUGACUUGUGGUUAGGGGUGAAAAGGUUUUAUCAAAUUCAGGGAUAGCUGGUUUUCUGCGAAAUAUAUUUUAGUAUAGCCUGUAAAUAAUAAAUAGGAGGGUAGAGCUGACUAUUGGUACAAAGGGGGUGAAUAACUUUACGGCGUAAAUUAAAAACUCCGAAUAUUCUAUUUUUAUUUUAUGGAGCCAGACUUUGGGCGCGAAGGUCCAUAGUCAAGAGGGA
rnacentral:rRNA from 1 species